UUUAUAUUUUUGUGUGCGACUAGGGCAACCAGUGAUCACUGAGGGCGGCCAUAUUUUGCUCUGGUUUCCGGGCUUGUCUACACUCUCCCUGGACGCACUCUGGAAUCAGUAAGCUCACUCCCCGAAAAAUGCAUUGUUUUCAAUGGGUGCGUUCACCAGACCAGUGCGCUACGUCAGCGCUCUGAAACUGUUUAAGAUUUUUCGGGUGAACGUCAUGUCAAUUUAGCCUAAACUUCAACGUGUUGACGAAGCGGUCGCCAUUUUAUUGAACGUAGUAUUUGUAUCGCUUCAAUAUUGAACGUGUUUAAGAAAUAUAUUGUAAUGGCGCGAUUAUUUGAAAAUAUUUAUUUUACAAUGAUUUUAAUUAUAAAGUAAUUGAAACUUAGGAGAUACAUAAUUGGAUAUGCUCACGAAAUUGUAAAUCUGUGUAUAAUGAACAAUAUUUUCAACAUAAUUCAUAUUUACGUGAUAAUUAUUAUUUAUUUAUGGUGGGUCAUCCAAUGGUUCUGCUCUGCCAAGUCCAGCACAGCCAGCAGCACCAAAAAUUAUUUCUUGUUCAUUUCAUUCUCAAACAUCAAUAAAGGUAGUAUAUUAUCCAUUUUUGAAUUAAAUUUGUUUAAGAUACGUCCAAUUUAUCGUUGAACGAUAAGUAUAAUAAAUCAACAAAAACAACGAAUCUCGUUUUAGGUUAGGUUCAUACAUAGAACAGGUGGGAACACAAAAAAACCAACUAUGAAAGUGUCAAACGGAAAAAUACCAUUCACCAGACUAAACGUAGUUUUAAAGCGCUGCAACAUAGCUGUUUAGUUGAAACUUAAACCGAUUAUUUCUGGUGAACGCAGCCAAUGUUCCAAUUUGGCGAAUCUGCGCAAAGUCGUCCAAAAUUCGUUUCACCGUGCGCAUCCGAUGAGAGCGGAUACGUUUGCCGAUUGGUCGUGACCGCCAUCUGAUUUUCAUGAAUUUUGUGAGGUUGUGUUUGGGAAUUGUUUGUUGUUUUGGUUAAUUUACCAAUUUAUUUUCAUACAUUUUUCAUAUUAAUAAUAGGUAGUUAUGUAUAUUAUGUACUGUGAAUGUGAUAUUAUUUUCUUAAAUCAAUCAAAUGGAAAUGAAGCAAGCAGAAAACAAUUUUUACAAGGAACAAUGUAAAAUUAAAAUCGAAAGUUCUGGACAACCUGUGUGAUGCUGUAAUAAUUAUGUUCCUAUUCUGUUAAAACUGAGAUAGAGAGUCUUUAAAACUGAUAAAAAUAGUUAUUUCUAUGAUGGAAAUUCUUUGGACCAAAUAAAUAGAGAAGUUAUUAUUGAAGACAUCAAAUAAAAGGAGGAAAAUUUAUGUGAAAAAUGAUUUUCAUAAUAAAAGAAGAACUGACGUUAUUAUGAAACCAGUGUAUGGACGGUGUGUUUUACUGACUUAAAGCAAGAGUACCUUUUAUACUUGAAUUUGUCACAUUUUUUAAUUUCAUAAUUUUAUUUAUGUAAGUUGUGAUUGUAAAAAUAUUGUUAAGUUGUAUUCAUAGUUCUCUACUUGUUCUUUUGAAGUACUGUUUUUAUUAUAAUUGGUAUUGUAAAGUUGAAAUCCUCAAAUCAAAAUAUAAUUUAUAAUUCGAAUGUAUUAUUAUUUUACUACAUUCGAAUUGAGUUUGGCUCAACUUAUGUGUGCGAAGCCGCUUUAUCAAGAAUGAACUUUGUUAAAAAUUGGUAGAUAUCUCACUUAACAGAUGAAUAUCUCAACUCUCCAAUGAGACUCAGUUGCACUAAACUCACUCCAAGCUUCAGACGGGUUGUACAUAAAAAAAUUCAUUUCUGUCUCUGAUUUUUGAAAUUAAGUAAGCUGUGAUAUAAAAUUGUCAUGUGCAUUUUUUAUAUUCAUUUUUUCUCUACUAAAUGUUAAACAGUAGGAGUACUUUUCAGAAGUGCAUUUAAUUAAAAUAAUUUUCAGACUUAAUAAGUUUGCAACAAACACCUUGCAUUGAAACUAAUGUAGAAAAGAUAACAUGUUAAUUAACAUUUUGUACUAUGAUUAUUUAUUUUAAAUUCCUCAGUUUCCUUUCUACAAAAUUGAAGAUGUCUAAAAACUUCAUUAGCAUUCAAAAUAUAAAUUCCUAAUUUUUAAAAUAUUCUCAGUAACAAUUUACAAUACUGCUGUUUUCAAAAUAUACUGAUAAUAACAUCAAAACAAUACACAAUGAAUUUAUAUUUUAUUUAUUGUAAUAGGAAAACUUACAGAAAAGUAUACAGUAACCAAAAACAAUCAGAUAUUAUUAGUUUUCCUUUUCAUAUUAGUCGAUGUAAUGUGUGAGGCCACUUUCGUAUGAAAAAUGUUUCUGACUCAAUUUCUUUGCGGAUUCCUGUUUAAAAAUGUCCCCUUUAAACCAAUCAGAAAAGUGUCAAUUUUUUAAGCAAAUUCAAAAUUACUUUUUUGCCUCGAAAAAUGUAUUUUUAGGGUAAUUAUAAACAAUAAAGGUAUCUUGUCAUAUUUCUGAAAAGUUGAUAGUUUUUGAGUUAUAAGCGAUUUAAAAUCUGAAAACUAAAUGUUUGAAAACUGUUUUAAUAAAAUGACAGAUCUUUUUUAUUUAAGAUGACCCAAAAAUGCUAAAAACAUAUUUUCACUGCAAAAAAGUGAUGCUUUGAAUUUGUUAAAAAAACAAUUUCUGCCCAAAAAUUUCGCCCGUCGCACUUCUGAUUUGUUUAUAGGGGAUAUUUUUUAACAAGAAUCCACAAAGAAACCGAAUCAGAACAGUCAGACACAGGCAGCAUAAAUCCGGACCUCAGAAGUGUCAUAGGUUGUCGAAACGGACCCUCAGGGAAACUAUUUGGUGACCCCUGAUAUAGGAUAUCACUAAUUUUGAGUCAUUUUUGUCAAACUUCCGGUCACAACUUUUUAACAGGAAAAAACAUCAAAACAAGACAUAAAAUUCGGAAGUGUAUUCUGCCCAACAUUCAGUACCAUACAUCAUAGUUCACAUAGUGGGUCUUAAGCCAGUCUUAUAGAACUUACCUUUUAGUUUUAUUAGUAGCUUUCUAUCACACACUACUCCGCGUACCACUUUCCACUUCAUCUAAUUCUCUACUUCUAUUAACUUCAUGGCCAUGUACUUCCCCAUGUCCAGUAAUGUCGAUCCCAGAUACAUAAAACUAUUAUCUUGUGUGAUUUCUUGUCUAUUUAAGCUAACUAAUCUAUGCAGAUUUGGAAUACUAUCUUUAAAAAAAUAUACUGUUUUGUCCUACUUAAGUUUAAACCUUUUUCUUCAAGCGCCUAUCUUAACUGCUUUACUUUUCCUACAGUUCUCUCUAAUUUUUCUACCAACAAAAUAUCUUCUUACAUUAACAACCAAGGAUCUCCCAAUAAAGUUCAGCUAUUAUCUGAUCCAGGAUGAAUGAGAAUAAAUUUAGCAGGGAACCCUAAUUUCACUCAAAAUUUACCAAUUUCACAUGCAUUUGCUAUAAUGCUAAUUGUUACCAUCUCAUAUUAUAUAUCUUGCACCACAUAUUCAGCUGGCACUCCUUUCCUACUUAGUACCAGUACGUCUCUGGUAGCUUUGCCACAUGCCUUCUCAAGAUUAAUAAAAACUAUGUGCAAGUCUUUCUCUUUCACUCAAGUUUUCCAUUAGCUGUCUUAAAAUAAAAAUUGCUGUUGUGGACCUGCCAUGCAUAUAUCCAAAACGACUUUUAUCCAUUUUUAUUUCUAGAACCUUAUACUAAAUUUUGUUAGAUUUUACCAUAAAUGUACAAUAAAAACAUAUUUUAAUUGGCUGCUAUGGAAAAUGUCUGAACAAAAUUUAAGCAAAAUUUUACUGGAAAUAACUAUUGCAAACUAAAUAAAACACUAAAUUAAUAGAUGUUUAUAAUUUUUUUAUUCUUUAUUAAAAAUCUGGGAAAUCUAAGCAAGAACUUUCAUAUCACUAUCUUUAAAUUUUACAGCACAUUUCUUCCACGCACAUUCAUAUGGUUUUCCUUCAGUGUGUUCUUAAACGGUUUUAAGACCACUUCAAACCAUACUAGUAAGAAUAUUCAAUCAAAUUCACAUUAUUUUUUCAAAGUAAUUUCAAAUGAGUUGCAGUAGUAUACUGCUUAGAAAAAAUCACAUUUGUGAGGUUUUUCCCCACUAAGAAUUUUCAUGUGAGGAUGUGAGAACACGUGAACUGCCCUAUUCUCAAAAGCAGCAACGAAUAUCUACUACUUUUGACGAGAUGAGUAACCUCCAAAAUACCAACAUCUGGAGAAACUUCUUCAGGAGAAAUCUAUUUUAUUAUUUUCUAGUAUUAAUAGUACCUUUACACCUUAAAAAAAAAUUGUAAAUACUUUCUCUUGUUUACUUUGACCUGUUCACUAAAAAAAUCAAUAUUAGAUAACAUUUUAUUAAAAUGUUGUUCUCAAGCCAUUUCCUUGUGGCAUUUUUGUAAUUAACUAUUCUAAAUUGGAAAUAAGCCCCAAUUUUAAUAAAAAAAAAAUGAUUUUAUUAUCGUUACAACAUCCGCAUCGGACGUCGUUAUCAAAAUACAAAAUAUUAAUGGUAUUACAAAAUAUUAAUUAAACAUUAAUAUUUUGUUUUUGACAUCGACAUCCGAUGUGGACGUCAAAACGUUAUUAAAACCAUUUUUUAGUUAAAUUGUGGCUUAUUUCCCAUUUGAAAUAGUUAAUUCUAUUGAAAUAAAAAUUAUUCCAGUUACCAUAAUUCCCAAAUAUGUCAAAAUAAAUCCAAUUGGUAUGUAGUAAGUCAAUGUUCAAGAUAUUUUUAGAAAAUUUAUAUUAAUUAGUUGUAAGUAAUGAAAUAUUUAGCUUCUGUUGUUAUCUAAUCUUAAUAAAUUUACAGAUUUCUCCUCAA